UUGAUUCUAAAAAACUUUAAUCCCAAAAUCCUCUCUAUUUUACGAACUGCAACUCUGUCUUUCUUGCUUUUUUUUUAGAUUGGACGAUUUUAACGAAUCAUACUUUUGUUUUUUAGGUUAUUCAAGUGUCAUCUGUUGCUUUCUAGCUGGGUUCUUCGUCAACUGAAGAUAUGAAGGUUUUCAACGAAUCAUACUUAGGGGUUUCAAUCUUUCGUUGAAAAAUGUGAAAAAAGGUUGAAUACUCUCAGUCUCCUUUCAAAUAGAUAUGUCUUGGGGGAAGGAAAAGUAGCAAAUUUUCUUUUGAACACAUUUGGGAUUGUGGUAUUACGUUAGUCAGUUACCAAGGAGAAGCUGCUAACAGAAAGCAUUGGGUUCCUUCUUUUGAGCACCCUCAGCCGAUUUGCCAUUGAAGUUGGAUUGUCCAAGCAGGCUGCAACGUCUGCUUUCAUGAAAGACUACAGUUCAUGGAUUGCCAACAUAGCAUCAAAUUUACCUGUUUGGGACUAUACGGCAAAACUUAUACCAAUGUGUGCGUUUGAUGGUCUCCGCUACGGGGCUGUAUUUAUAGGGUAAGUAAUUUUGUGGUUGCUACUGUAUCUAUUGUAUCUAUUAUAUUUGACAGAGCAUGCUCUUCAUAAAAAUAGCCAUGUGAUUAUACCAAAUUUUGUCCUUGACAAAGACCCUUCAGUAUUGGAUCACAAUAUUAGCGGCAUUCCUAAGCAGGAGCUUAUGUGCUUGCAAGCCUUGAGUAUGUACAUAAUUCCUGGUGGCUCAUAUAUAGAAUUAGAAUUAUCAACAGAUAAAAUUCAAGAUGAAGACCAAGAAGCCUCUCUCUCUACUGGCAAAGGUGCUGCUACUCCACUGUCUGAUUUGGCUGCCAUACUAGACAUAGAUCUACCUAUAAUUGCAAUCCUGCUCAUUUAUAUGGAUGGAUAUAUUAUACUGUCUCAUUUCCUUAUUUGAGUUACGAGGCGAAGUGCUCUGUAUCUUCUCACGUGGCUUCGAGUACCACAACAGAAACAGUCACAACACCCGUUGAUCCAGUUGCAGCCUCAAAAUGAUGCAGGAUAGUAGGACGGAUCAGAUUAGUCUCAGAAAGUUGGGCAAACAAAAUGACAUUGUGGAAAUAAUGGAAAAGUUUGAUGAGGGUAAAGUAAAAGCAAUGGAUGCCUCCGAUGUAGUUAACGACAUGCCCGGAUUGUCAGAUGGAAGCAAGAGUUUGAUGUAGGUUCGAUGCCUGAAAAGUCAAAUUGGAAGUCUUACAGUAAUGAAAAGUCAAAUUGGAUCCCUUUUAGGCCAAACCACCUAGCAAAAGUAUAAGAGGGAAUUAUUAUUUAGGACCAAAUUGAUGGUUUUCUCAUAUUUGUUUUGUUAGUUAGUGUUUGCUUCUGGUUGUUAGCUCAGUCAUUCUACAGUUUUUUCCCUUAUUUCCGGUUUCUUUAGCUUUUCAGAUUGUUGAAUUGUUAAAGUAUGCACUUGUACUCUCAUCAGGCCUGCUUUUGAGAAUGAAUGCAAAUAUAUUGAUGAAUACUUGGAGAGUAUG